rnacentral:rRNA from 1 species
GGAGGGUGCGAGCGUUGUUCGGAAUUACUGGGCGUAAAGAGCUUGUAGGCGGCUUGUUAAGUCUGAUGUGAAAGCCCUCGGCUCAACCGGGGAAGUGCAUUGGAUACUGGCGAGCUUGAGUAUGGGAGAGGAGAGCGGAAUUCCCGGUGUAGAGGUGAAAUUCGUAGAUAUCGGGAGGAACACCAGUGGCGAAGGCGGCUCUCUGGACCAAUACUGACGCUGAGAAGCGAAAGCGUGGGGGAGCAAACAGGAUUAGAUACCCUGGUAGUCCACGCCGUAAACGAUGGGUACUAGGUGUUGGGGGUUUUACCCCUCAGUGCCCGGAGCUAACGUAUUAAGUACCCCGCCUGGGAAGUACGGCCGCAAGGCUA